UACGAAGGGGGCUAGCGUUGUUCGGAAUUACUGGGCGUAAAGCGCGCGCAGGCGGUCUUCCAAGUCAGUGGUGAAAGCCCGGAGCUCAACUCCGGAACUGCCAUUGAAACUGUGAGACUUGAGUACGAGAGAGGUGAGUGGAAUUCCCAGUGUAGAGGUGAAAUUCGUAGAUAUUGGGAAGAACACCGGUGGCGAAGGCGGCUCACUGGCUCGUAACUGACGCUCAGGCGCGACAGCGUGGGAUCAAACAGG
rnacentral:rRNA from 1 species